UUGACAGUAAGCAAGCUAGGGUUUUUUCCUUUGACAGACUGCGGCCGCUCUGGCGCGGUUCUCCGCAUUGGGCGAACUUCAGGUGGUCUGCCCGUGGAGCUUUCUUGGGGUUUUCUCUGACUCACGGCCUCUAUCAUCUUCCUCUGCCCCGAAAAUUUAGAAACCUAAGACGUUUGUGUCCAUUCUUGCGGGAACAGAAGAGAAUAAUGUUUCCAUCAGUCAGCUUCCUUCCUCUACAAUUCGUGGUGAUACUGUGUUCGUCAAGAUAUAUAUAUUAAUGAAGCGAUCUACCAGGAGCAACUCAAGGCAUAUCGCACCAACCUGAUUGGGCGUCUUCAUCUUCGGAAAGAUUCAACUCCAAUGAAAAUGGAGGCUUUAAAAGCCUCUCUGAAUUAUGGCAGCCACUGGGUCCGGAGGCUGGUUCCAAUUGGCAAGGGGUAUUAUGAUCUCCAUUUUGAUUCGGAAGCUGACCUGCGCAAGGUUUGGGGUGGUGGCACCUGCACACUUGAGUCAGGAAUAUUUCGGCUGUCGCAAUGGCAGCCGCGGGGGAUGUUCUUCCUUAAACCCAUACUCAAAUAUGGAUAAGAAUCUUUGGUCUUAGCCAUGAGUACUGGCAUCAGCAACACAUCAUGGAAAUUCCCCGUGAUGUGGGCAUUUCGUUACAACUUGAUGCGGCAACAAAGGAGCAGAGAUUUGGGUACUAUGCUCGGGUAUUCGUAGAUGUUGAUCUGCUUGGUCCUCUCCCUUCAUCUAUCAUGGUUGAAAGAGAGAUUGAUUAUGAGAAUCUACCUCCUCGAUGCAACCAUUGUGGUCUUAUUGGACAUGAGACACCGAAUUAAUUGUAGGCAGCUGUCAACUGUAGAAAAUCAAAUCAUCAAAAUAUGGAUAAGUAUGAUGGCAGAGUUCGUAUCAGUAGAAAGCUGAGGAGUUCAGCGUCGAUGAGUGAAAUAGAGGCAAAGCUUGAAGCCGAACUUGAGAGGUUGGGGCUAAACACGAAUAGUUCUACUUUGGAGAGAAGAUUUACUGAUCAUGAUGAGGUUCUUGAAGAGAAGAGGAAGGCUCUGGCUACACUGAGAAGAAAAGAGUUGACUUGGGCAAAGAGCUGAUGUCUAUGCAGCAGCUCACAAAAAAGAGGAUGAAGAAGAAGCUGAUCUUGAGGCUGAUGCCCAAGAGUGGCAGCCCUUCAGAUCAAAUCAGAAAUGAGCUGCUGAUCAAAUCAGAAAUGAGCUGCUCACUAUGACAGAAGAUGCACCAACAGCAGAUAAACCAACUGGCAAGACAUCGAAAGAACUAAUGUAGAACAAUUGGUUUAAACUGAAAAUGUAAUAUAUUGUUGUUAUCACUAAUCACUUUUGUAGAGUAUGGGUGCUCACGCAUGGGUUCAUCACCCUCCAUUCUCCAUAGUUUUGGUUCUUGGCUCUGGUGCUAGGUCCUCCUUCGACAGCCAUGACGCUUUCUUGGUAUGGGUCUCUAUGGUGGAGAGUAUGGUGUUGUUUUGAGGGAUUUUAUCCCUUGGAUUGUUGGAUUUCAUAUGAUUUGUGUUAUAGACUUUGAUUGGCAUCGGAUGUACAGUAUGGAACUACCUGGUGUUCUGCUUCCUGCAACACAUCGGCAGUUCUGCGUGGUCGGCGGCGCGAGGUGGUCUGCAGUAGCUAGGUUUUCUGUAUUGGAUUGGGCUUAUUCUUUGGGCUUUUAUUUCAGUUGUUUUAUGAGGGUGUCAUUUCCUUAUACUGGCUCUUGUUGAGCCCAGUAGAAAAUUAAAUUUCCUUUACUUUAUUA